rnacentral:rRNA from 1 species
UACAGAGGUCCCAAGCGUUGUUCGGAUUCACUGGGCGUAAAGGGUGCGUAGGUGGUCGGGUAAGUCUGAUGUGAAAUCUCGGAGCUCAACUCCGAAACGGCAUUGGAUACUAUUCGGCUGGAGGGUUGGAGGGGGGACUGGAAUUCUCGGUGUAGCAGUGAAAUGCGUAGAUAUUCGCAAGAACACCAGUGGCGAAGGCGGCUCACUGGCCCGGUACUGACGCUGAGGUGCGAAAGCGUGGGGAGCAAACAGG